GACGAACGCUGGCGGCGUGCUUAACACAUGCAAGUCGAACGGAAAGGCCCCCUUGUGGGGUACUCGUGUGGCGAACGGGGGAGUAACACGUGAGUAACCUACCCCUGACUUUGGGAUAACUUCAGGAAAAUGGGGCUAAUACCGGCUAGGAGCUCCUGCUGCAUGGUGGGGGGUGGAGAGUUUCGGCGGUUGGGGAUGGACUCGCGGCUUAUCAGCUUGUUGGUGGGGUAGUGGCUCACCAAGGCUUUGACGGGUAGCCGGCCUGAGAGGGUGACCGGCCACAUUGGGACUGAGAUACGGCCCAGACUCCUACGGGAGGCAGCAGUGGGGAAUAUUGCACAAUGGGCGGAAGCCUGAUGCAGCAACGCCGCGUGCGGGAUGACGGCCUUCGGGUUGUAAACCGCUUUCGCCUGUGACGAAGCGUGAGUGACGGUAAUGGGUAAAGAAGCACCGGCUAACUACGUG
rnacentral:rRNA from 1 species